UCCACAACUGUAUUUUUGUGGAUGAUUAUCAGCUCUAGGCAGAACAAAUGUGUUUGUAUUGAGGAUCUUUCCAUGUCAAUGUGGUUGUGCUUUUUUUUGUGAGCCCUUCAGUGGAAAUAUAUUGCACUGUGUCAAAAACACCAGCUGACCUACAAAUAAGACUACUUUGGCUAAAAUGUUUCUCACUUUUGAAAGUUGAGGUGAGUUAGGAGUGGCCAGUCUGAUGCCCACAAAAGCAGUUUCUCUUGUCGUAGGACUAUGGGAAGGAGCAAGAAGGUAUGAAGGGACUGACUCCAGACAUGUCUGCCUCAUAAAUUUUACCAAGUAUUCUAAAACCAGUACGUCUGGCAUCUGUUAUUUCACUACAAGCACUAACACUUACAAUUUAUGUAGAACACUGUGAUAGCAUUAAUAAAUAUAGUUUUUAACAAAUACUAAGACAGGACCCUGGCAAGUUCUUCCACUGCAUGGUUAGCAAGAUACGUGAAGAGUGCAAAAUGAUUUUGAGGUACUGGUGGCAAAUCUGAAUGCAAUAGCAAAUUGUACUUUACAGCUUCAGUGCUAGGGUGGAAAAUAUUGUACUGAUAGAUAAGUCUUCUAAAUUUAUACUGCUGCUGGUUUGACUUCUUUAACUUGAAUUUCACAAUUUUAGAAGUAUAAAUCAGUAGGAAUUAGAGGCUUGAACUGUAUACAUGUAUGUUUGCACAUACACAGCUCAUUAACAUUUCUUAAAAGAAAGAAUACCCUGUUCUAAUACCACACAUGGACACAUUAAAAUAUUGUGUGUUUUUAACUCUGUCUUUUCUGAUUUGUAUUUAUAUGAAUUACGUGUCUUUUGAGAGAUUAACACUAUCUGGUGAUCAAUGUACUUAGGCAUAAUUAUUUAUCUAUAUUGUUUUUCCUUAAUGAAAAAAUAAACAACCCGUUCUUUUGCUUAAGUGUAUAGGGUCCUAUAUAUUAAAUGUGUCUGACAGAGAAAUUCAGUUCAGUAAUUACAAAUGACUUGUAACAUCCCCCUGUUCCGAUUUGUUCCAGCAGAGACACUGCACCCAGCAUAUGGUGCUUUAUGUUUAUGUGUGCCUGUGCAUAUAGAUGCAAAUGCAUCUCGUUAGUGUUAAUUUUCAUUGUGAUCAAGGCCGGAUCCUGUUCCUCUGAACAGUAUUAUAUUAUGUAACUGGCAGUGGCUCUGUCUUUCUGUUUCAGUAAACCACAGAGUAGAUUUAGAUCUAAGAUAUCUGACCAUGAGGGAUAAGUAAACAAUGGUUUGGCACACUUACGGUUCAAAUAAAUUCUGGGGAAAAUAAAUGUAUGUAAGGUCAUCAGCUUUUAACUUUCUUAAUCAAAAAAAUGAAUGUUAAUAAAUUUUAAGUCAUUAUGAAAUGCUAGCAAUUCUGAGGAAAUAAAAUAUGUAAAAUAAGCUGUCUAUCAGAAAUAUAGUAAUCAUAUUUUAAUGAAUUCCUGCCAAAAAUUUUUGCAAUGGGGUUUUUAGCUAUAACAUAUUAAAACUGUUGUUAAUUCCAGAACUGCCUGACCUUAACGAAUAUGGCAUUUUUAAGAGACAAACAGCAGAAAAAACUGUUUCUACCCUUCGAUGUAAAAAUAAAAGUAG